UCGCUAUCAUCCUCACAGUCAGCUUGACCAUCACAUCUUCUGGAUGCCAGGACACACCUCCCAGAACGGCACUUGAAGUGACUGGAGUACCAUUCUGGGACAAGAGAGCAGAAGAGAGCUGGAUGAUCUUUAAGGAAGUCUUCCACUGAGUGCAAGAGCUAGCAAUCCCCAGGAGCAAGAAAUCCAUCAAGGAAGGCAAGAGACUGGCAUGGCUGAGUAGGGAACUGCUGGUCAAACUAAAGGAAAAGAAGCAAAUGCACAGGCAGUGGAAACAAGGACAGGAAUAUCUGUUUUGGAGCCAAGAUGGGCAACAACAGUGAAUCAGCUUUUUAGAGACUGUCAAGGGUCUACCUCCUGCUUAGAAAAACAUUAUUAGAUCAUCUAAGAAGAUAAAAAAUUGAAAUAUUACAACAAGCAAGCAGUUGCUGUGCUGGCAGCAAAUCUCAAAACACUGACUUUCACAGAUCGAGGGUAAUUGAACCUUCCUUCAAACAGACUUCUCAUGAAAAUUUCUUCUUAUCUGCAAACUUCAGGUAUUCAAAUUCCAUGAAACUCAGUUAGGAAUAAUUUCCACAGUUUAAAUAUUAUAAUUAAAAAGAAGAUAUGAACUUGGGAACCUAUUUAAAACUUUAAUUUGCUGUUAUAUGUAUAGGAGAUACCUUCUACAUCUUCAUCUGGUGUUAGACAAGUUUGAUUGUCUGAGUUCUCAUCUGGAAACUGAGUGCAGUCUGUAUCCUCUGGCCACUGCAGACCUACAAUCCCAAGAACAGCCUCGCAGCGUUCCUUAGACUGUACACAUAAUGUCCUGAGGAGACAAAAUGGAAUUGCACAAAGUAACUGAGUUAAUGUCUUAGAAAUUCUGAGAUACUCUAAGUUAAUAAUCCCUAGCAAGGGAAUUUUAGGACAUGCAUUGCAAUUUUCAGUGCACUUUUCUUUCAAUGCAGUAAAUGUUAAUUGAUAAAUACUGUCAAGGUAGGCCCAAUAAAAGAGGCAGAAAUACAGAAAUGGUCAGGCAGUUGGACUAGGUGGUCAUUGUAGGUCUCUUCCAACUGAAAUAGUCUAAUUUAUUCUAUAUAUACAUUUUGAAAAUAAACUAUCUGCCAUUUCUUUCCUUUUUCUGAAUACUUUUGAUGCUAAACAAACACAUGUAAUGAACUGCAUUUAAUAAUCAUAAAAUACAGUUCUCUGUCAUUUGCUACAGAAUUCCAACCCAAAAUUUCUGGCGUUGUCAGUGGAAGCAUAGAACUGCAAAAGGCUAAUAUGACAGACAAAGUCAAGAAUUAAAUGAAGUAUAGUAUAGUACCUGCAAGGUGGGAUCCGCUGAUUUGUGUGAGGGUCACAUUUCGGUACUAAGAUUGUGCAGGCAAAAAACAUCAGGUACUUGUAGCAGUUGGUCUGAACCAAGGCUGGGAAAAGAGAAGACUCCCAGCUGAUAGAGGCUUCCUUCUGCGUCCUGUGGCCCAGGUAGUUUGGGUAGUAAGUAUAGUUGUAGGGCAAGUUCAUACAAAGUUCCAGAGUAAUUGGUUCACACUGACCUGUUCCAGAAAGAAAACAAACAAAACCACAAAUGGUGUGAGAUUCAAUUAAAUACUGCAGAAAUAAUUACAUACGUAUUUAACAAAUUUAUUAGUCAAGGAAUUUCCUCCCAGGCAUUAGAAACAAGUUCCAGAGCUCAAGACCCCAUAUGAGUUCUCAUGCCAGUAAAGGUGGGUUUGACUUCUGCCUACCUCACAAAACUAUUGAGACUGAUAUUUCCUUAUUAAUAUGCAUUAAUUUCCUGAGCAAUGUCUUAACUUGAAUGUGGUACAAUAAACCAUCCUUUAAAACAGA